UUCUAGCCCAGAUUGAAGAGGAAAGCCCGGAGCAAAAAAAACUAAUUUUUCUUGCUAGAAAACAGCGACCAACGGAAGCUCGUUUUAUGGCUUAGAAAAAUAUUUUUUUUAGUGAGGACUUGAAACAGAAAGCUGGAAAUAGC
rnacentral:sRNA from 1 species